rnacentral:rRNA from 1 species
AUGGCGAACGGGUGAGUAAUGUAUAAGAAACUGCCUUUUAGUUUGGGAUUUAAAUACCAGAAAGAUUGAUUAUCGCUAAAAGAGGUACUUAUAUAAGAUUAGGUAGUAGGUAAGGUAAAAGCUUACCUAGCCAACGAUUUUUAGUUGAUUUGAAAGAGUGAUCAACCACACUGGGACUGAGACAAGGCCCAGGCUUCUUUUUGAAGCCAGCAGUAAGGAAUAUUGGACAAUGAGCGGAAGCUUGAUCCAGCAAUACUACGUGAGGGAUGACAGCUUAUUUUGGUUGUAAACCUCUUUUAUUAAGGAAGAUAAUGACUUACUUAAAAAAAAAGUCCCGGCUAAUUUCGUGCCAGCAGCCGCGGUAAUACGAAAGGGGCGAGCGUUAUUCAGUUUGAUUUGGUGUAAAGGGUUCGUAGGCGGUAAUAAGGUUGUUUAAAAUAAAAUUGAGAGACUCAAUCUCUUUUAAGGCUGUUAAAAACACUUUUACUUGAGUAUAAAAUAGGAUUGUAGAAUUUUAGAGGGAGAAAUAAAAUUUGAAGAGCUUUAAAGGAAUGUCAAAAGCGAAGGCAACAAUCUAGUUUAUGACUGACGUUGA